UUAUUGCACUCAGUGCGCACUGAGAGCAUUUUGCACUCUCAAUGAAAUGUGCUCCACUCAGAACGUGCAAACUAAAACUACCAAUGAAAUACGCUUCAAGCACUCAGUGUUGCCAGUGCUAGCGAGUUUUUUCCAAUGGAAGACGCUAUAAAAUCAUGCGUCGUGUUUCAUUGGAAAAUGUAGUGUCGAGUUUUUGCAUUUUCGUGCACAAAUUCGGUACGACCUCAGAGAGAUGGUGUCGGUUGAGUGUAAUACAUGGCGGCACAGAAUAGAGAUGUUUUGAAUGAACAAACGUAGGUUUGUUCUUUAUUGCUGCACUGAGUUCACAGUGCACUGCACUGAACGGAACUAGUGCAAGCAGGACAAGUUAUUUGUGAGCAAGUAUAAAGAACGCGUCAGUGUAAUAAUCAACAUGGCGAUGAUCUUAAAUGAUUUAUUUGAUUCUUCUGAUGAUGAAGAAAAUAAUAUGUUGUUUCCAUUUCAAUCUAUUAUGCGUAACGAUGACGAUGUUACACAUGUUACAUCCAAUUUUCGAAUUAGUGCAAAGAAUUGAACAUGUGAAAAUAAACAAUUAUAUGGAACAUAUUGUUCAUAAUUAUAAUAACGUUGAUUUUAUCAUGAAUUUUCGUUUGUCAAGAAGAGCAGCAUAUCAAUUAAUAGAUCAAUUUACAGUGUCGGAAAUAUUUACUUCUAUACAAGAACGUGUACAAAAUAAUAAAAUUAGCGCUGAAAAACAUAUUUUGUUAUUUAUGGUUUGUGGGUCAUCAAACAGGAUCUUAUCGAGAUAUAGCAAAUAGAUUCGGAAUAACAAUAAGUGCAUUACAUACAGUAAUAACAAGAGUAACCGAUUUUAUUUUAGUUUUAGCGCCUAAUAUUAUUAAAUACCCAACUGAUCUCGAAAAAGAACAAACUUCAAACUUUUAUCUAUAACAAAAACGAUUUCCUAAUAUAAUUGAUGCUAUCAAUGGUUCUCAAAUAAGAAUAGACAAACCUUUUGAAGAUCUUGAUUCCCUUGCACUUGAAUAGAAAAAUAAUGUUUCCGAUUUAUAUAGGAAUAUAAAUCGGAAACAUUAUUUUUCUAUUCAAGUGCAAGGGACAGUUAAUCAUGACAUGAAAUUUAUUGACGUAUUUAUUGGGUAUCCAGGUUCCAUUCACGAUGCAAGAGUUUUAAAAAAUUCAACACUAUAUAAUGAUCUACAUAAUAUUUGUGGAGAUAAUUAUUACCUGUUGGGAGAUAGUGCUUAUUCAUGUUUGAAACAAUUGAUUGUUCCAUAUAAGGAUAACGGA